GCAAAUUAGCAUCAUAAAUAAGAAGCUUGGAAAGAGCUCUAUUGAAAUAACAAGGGUGAUGAUCUUGGAUUUCUUCUUGUAAUAAAUCCAAUUAGUUUUAAGGUAUCAGAUUCUGAUUGUGGCAUAUUGGUAUGUUAAACAAAGAGCGAAUGUUAGUCGUUUAGUGGUGUUUACAGCUUCUAUAAGCUCCAACAAAUCUACAGUAAGAUUUCUUUUGAAGGUUGAUGUAAAUAGCUUUUGCAGGAUAACAGACUAGCAGUUCAAGCAUGCUAAUCAAUCGGAUAGGCAAGACAUGCUUGUUGGUCUAAAUAUAGGUUUGAAUGUGUGUGAUUUAUCACCUGAUUUGUUGUAGCUGUUAUGAUGCUGAUUGGAAGCGUGAAGAUAAAAGCAAUAGCACUUGCAAAUAGAAGCCCCCACCAUGGCAUCUGAACUUGGUUAUUCAAGAAAAUGCAGAGGAUUAGGGAGACUGUGAGCGUCACCAGAAGCAAUGCAUUAAACCACCAAGAAGGUAUGUCUUUGUAUUUCCUCAUAAGUCUUGUGUGAAUAUCCUCCUUUCCCUUGUAUGAAGCACGGAAUCUUUCAUAGAUUUCCCUACACAUUGCAAGUAGACAAUAAAGACAAUCCUUUACCACGACUUUUGUAGUUAUUAACAAAUAAUUCUCAUCCAUAUUCAUAGUUCCAUUUAUUUAUGGAAGUUGCUGCUAAACAGCCGUAAAUAUGUAGCAGUUGAGGUGUCAAAAGUUUGGACAAGGUUAAAAUAGACUGACAAAUCAACUUUUGGGAUGAUAAAACAUGUAUAUUUCAUUUAAAAAAUUACUUGUAUAUUUUAAUUUCCUUGUCUGGGCUCUAGGUCGUAAAACAUAAGGAGCAAAUUUGACAAAAUAGUAGUACUGUGUCUUGAUAUAGUUAGCGUGUGUUUUACCUUCCGUAGAACAAUGCCACGUGUGUAAGAGUGGAUGCUAUAGUAGCAAAACCAAAACCGUAAGUGAGAGCAAAGAACAUGCUUAUAUGUAUUCUCCCUUGCUCCUCAUACUUUCCUAUAUCUAGCUCAAACUUGUCAUUCACGAUGGCUGAUAUAUCGUACUUCUGACCUUGUGCUGUGAAUAAGUGUGACGAGAAAAUGGGAAAUUUUCGAGCACCAUACAAGUCAAACCCCCAAUAUGCUAUUGGGAUCACCAUGUAUAUUAUCAACAUGUACCCUGCAAAGACAUUGACAAUGGCAAAGAAAGGGCAGAUGAGGGGGCUGAACAAGAAGGAUGCCACAGCAGACCAAUCCAGGGUUAUAGCUCCAAGUCCAAGGCCCCUCAUGCCUGAUCCAAUUUGCUGAGCUGUCACUGAUUUGGAGAAUGCCCAGCAGAUCCAUGAGAUGCUCGUGAGCGUUGAGAAGAGAUAUCCUGGUACUAGAUACCAGCAAAAGCUGCAUACUAAUGCAAUGAGGAAAAAUUUUGCUCGUGACAUGCGCCGAUCAUCUUUCUCAUGCAAGGCCCUGCAAAGAUCAAUCUGUGUUAAUGAUUUUCUGCACCUUUGAUCCGUUUGAGAAAGAAAAGCAUCUCAGUUGUUUUAUAUGAGAGCACAGCUGGAGAAAAGCUUUUCAACCAUCAGAUAGCUUGAAAUGAACGAGAAAAUUUGAAAUAGUAAUAGAAAACUUAUAAUGAAGAUGCAUAUAGCCAACCUUAACUUGCUUGGGAUUGAGAUGAAGUUGUUGAAUAGAAACUUACGAAAUGAUUAUGGGAAAUUUAAAAUAAAAAUUGGAUUUGUGAUUCGUCUGGUCAGGAAUUCCUGGGAAGAGGGUGAAGGGAAGAGAGAUACUAGACAUUCUUUUCCAGCUAUUGUCACGAUAAGCAGUAGAUAGAAACUAAGUUACAUGCAUGUGCGAGUACUUUAUCACAAAAAGAAAAGAAAAAACUUACAGCCAAGUGGGAGAUUCUUAUAGCUUUAACUGUAGAAGUGUGACUGUGAAACAAUGGUUUGCCAAUAAUCCAUCCUACAAAAAGAAAGGCUGUGUUCUUGUUUCUUUUGCAUGAUAUUUAUCAAGAAGAUGAGUUUGUGAAACUUGCAGAUGUUUGACUUGGUUUUAUGAUUCAGGUAGGAUUUUGGACUGGUUGUGGCAUUUCGAUGACACUAAUCAGGUCAUUGCUAAAUAUGUGCUAUACCAUUAAGGGAAUCAAUGUGCUUUGCUCCAAUGCAAAGUAGAUGGAGUUAGACUAGAGCUAAAUUGGACUGUAAUGACUUGAAUUUGGGAGCCUAUUUUAAUCUUCUAAUUCAGCUUAGAGAUGUCAGCAGGUGGACCAUCUUGGUUAUCGAAUGGCGCUCAACAGCGAAGGUAAAGGGAUGGCUUCAGAUUACAUCAUAAGUUCCUUCCCACUAUUGAAAUAUUAUCAUGCAAAAUUUUCAGUAUGCAUAGGUUUGUAAAUCGAACACAUUGUGAAAAAGUUUGAUUCUACUAACAGCCAACUGUGAAUACUAUGAAAAUAUUCAAUGUACAAAUGUAAAAUUCUCUCUUUGACAUGCGCCACCCCCUUUUCUUAGUAGCCUGUAAGUUGUUUCCUGUUUGGUUUGUCAUCCAUCAGUUAUUCUCAGAUUCUGGUUUUUC
rnacentral:lncRNA from 1 species